GUUGAGGCAGAAGUUGGACACUACCUUGGGUAAAAAGACCAGGUCCAUACACAUUAGCACUUUAUCACAUAGGUUCUGGUGUACGGCGAAUCAAUCCACAAUGCUGUCAAUUCACUAACGCAUUUGGCCGCAGUUAGGGCAAGCAAGAAGACAGUUUUUAAAUUCACUAGCUUGAUAGAUGCACAACUCAUUGGUCCCAAAGGGGCCUCUGUUAAAGCCGAAAGGACCAAGGAUAUGCUCCAUGGUUCGACAGGAGUGCAAAUAGGCAGAUACAAAUUCAUGAGGCCUUUCAGGAAAGCCUUACUAUCUUUGUGUGAAAAGUGAGUCUUCCUAUCACAGCCCAAAUGUUUUGAAGAGGGCGCUGCUAGAUGCACCUUUAAAGAUACAUUAGCCAACCCAUGUGAUUUUAGAUUAGUCAAGUAGAGGAGCACAUCCUUGAUUGUGGCUUGUCUAGGUUGAAAUCCAUGCGUCCUUGUAUAAGCUCUGAAACAAAGCCACUUACUAAGGUAAUUUCGCCUGGCGGAAGACUUCCUUUGGUUAAGUAGGAUUUUAUCAAAAGCCGAUGCACCAUGCUGUUAGAUGGAAAGUGAGAAUGUCUGGAUGCAGGACGUUGCUAUGGCCUAGUGUCAAGAGAUCCACCUCUUGUGGUAGACUGGUUUGUUGACAGCUUGAGUACCUGUGGAAACCAUGGUUGCCUUGGCCACCAUGGAGUCAGCAGGAUACAUGAUGUAGGAGCAGUCAGAAGGUGGGUAAAACUCGGCUGAUCAGUGGUCGCGGCAGAAACAUAUACGGGAUCUCCUGCUGCCAGUCCAAAUGGAAGGUGUCCCCCAGUGAUUUCGGGUCGUGACCUGCCCUGGAGCAGAAACAAGUGCACUCUGUGUUCCCCAAGGUGGCAAAGAGAUCUACAGUUGGUGUUAUCCAACUUGUGAAGAGAGAAGCGGCAGGAAGGCUUUCAUUGGUUUGAAGACAGCCAGCAGUUCCAGGAAACUGAUAUGAAACUGUGCCUGUUGAGGGGUCCACUUGCCCUGAAUCUGAUGUUUUCCACAGUGGGCCCCCCAGCCCAGCAGAGAACUGUCUGUUGUUAACCAGACAGAGGGUGACAAUAUCUGAAAAGGAACCCCUUCCAUAAGAUUCUUGCCCAUCGACCACCAGGAUGCCAUGUCUCAGGAACCUUUGAAUGAGUUGGGCCGGUAGAGAUGGGUGUUGUUGGAAAUCGAGUACCAGAUCCCUUAUGCAAUGGAAACACUCCCGAGGUAAGUAUGCUUUCUUGGCGCCUGUGUCUAGGACUGCUCCAACGUAGUUGAUUACAUGAACUGACUCCAGUUUGGACUUUUUUGAAUUGGAUUCCCAAGUCUUGGAGGAGAGAUAAAACUUACUUUAGCUGAGAAUGUAACUCUUCUCUGUCUCUGGAAGUCAGGAGCCAGUUGUCCAAGUAUGGAUAGACCGAGAUACCUUGGGUCCGUAGGUAGGCCAGCACCGCAGGCAUGCAUUUGGUAAAUAACCUGGGUGCGGUCGAAGGGUAAGACUGUGUAUUGGUACACUUGGUUUCCUACAGCAAACCUGAUAUCUCCUGUGUUGUGAUCUGAUGCCAAUGUAGAAAUAUGCGUCUUUGAGAUCCAGCGUCACAAGCCAGUUCUCCUGAUAGAGAAGAGGUAAGAUCUCUUGUAACGCUAUCAUGCAGAAUUUUUGCAGACAGACAUGUUUGUUCAGAUGGUGUAGAUCCAUGAUGGGUCAAAUCCUGCCAUCCCUCUUUGGGAUCAGAAAAUAGCAGAAGUAAAAACCUGCCUUUGUACCCACUGCACCGGGUUGAUAGCUCCUUUUGCUAACAGCUCCUUCACCUCUGCCAGUGAUGCCAGGGAGGGUUAAGUGAACCUCACCUCCGUAAACUCUGGAAUCAUCUUGAAGAUGAAUCUUGGAAUCAUCUUGAAAGUUAGCUUUUUAACUUUGUAACUUUUUAAAUUUUGGAUUAUUUAUUUAUUUUAAGCUGUUUUUAAUAUUUAAUUGAUUUUAAUGUUUUGUUUUUAAUUGUUGUGAACCGCCCUGAGACCUUGGGUUAGGGCAGUAUAAAAAUGCACCAAAUAAAUAAAUAAAUAAAUAAAUAAAUAAAUAAAUAAAUCAAUCAAUCAAUCAAUCAAUCAAUCAAUCUAUGGAAUACCCCAAAGUUAUAAUCUUCAGGACCCGGUGGUCCAAUGUUAUGUGGUGCCAUGCGGGAGCAUGGUCUGCCAGCCUGAUGUUGGUCACCGUUAAGAAUAUAGAGUUUGUGAGUUUGGUGUUGUCCCUUGCAUGCCAAGAUGUUAAAACUGCCAGUGAUGGGAAAGAAGAGGAGUGUUGUGGUGACAGCGGGUCGACUUGAACCUCAAAGAUGCUUUUGAGGCUCUACUUGUUUUGUACGUUGGGACUGAUUAGAUUUCCAUUUGCUCUGAUAAGUGCGCUUAUGACUUAUUUUGUCUUUCAUGUCACCCUGUAAUUGGUGGAGCGAAGCCAGACAUGCUUCCUCAGAGAGAUUGCAGCAGCCAAGGAACACAAUUCUGCCUCAGCCAGGUGUUUGGCAGUACUCAAUUGCUAGCGAAUGUAGUGUGGCAACGACCUGUCUUAGAAGAGGAGCGGGUGCAAUCAAUAAACAGGGAAUUUGGAGCAGGAUGCUUCAUAAGACAAAACAUGUGUGGCUGGAAGCAUGUCGGUAGGAGGAUUGGCCAAGUCUUCUGAAUCAUCAGGGUCAGACUCAAAAUCAGAAGAGCCGUGAUGCUCAGAAGAUGAACUCACAUGAAGACUUUGACUAAAUAGUCAAACUCACUUUGACUAAUGAGGAGCAACAGCCCGGGGACUGAAUGCAACAGUGGUUGGAAAAGAACUGAAGAACAAGAUGCCUGGCCCACCUUUAAACAGCAUGCUGUAGGUGUGGAGGGGAGGCUCCGUCACCUUGAUGAACUGCAGCAUUCUACCACGAGGGUCCUGCGCAGGCACAGUACCCAUUCUUAUGGAUCUUGAUCCAGUUCCAGUUCUUCAUCCUGGGGACUACGUUAUAUAUAGUUGCCCAUAAGGAAACUUAUACAGGAUAAAGUUGUUACUUAGUGUUAGCAGCUCAGCCCUAACACUGCAGAGCUUGGCAUUUCUAAAGCCACUGAGAAAUUAAAUGAUUUACAGUGCUUGAGUAGGCCUAGGAUCUGUCUUAAGGUCUUAUGGUUUCAAAUUACACGGAUUUCAUUUAAUCAUUCUCAUAGGAACAUAGGAAGCUGCCAUAUACUGUGUCAGACCAUUGGUCUAUCUAGCUCAGUAUUGUCUUCACAGACUAGCAGCAGCUUCUCCAAGGUUGCAGGCAGGAAUCUCUCUCAGCCCUGUCUUGGAGAAGUCAGGGAGGGAACUUGAAACCUUCUGCUCUUCCCAGAGCGGCUCCAUCCCCUGAGGGGAAUAUCUUACAGUGCUCACAUGUGGUCUUAUUUUCAUAUGCAACCAGGGUGGACCCUGCUUAGCUAAGGGGAGAAGUCAUGCUUGCUACUACAAGACCAGUUCUCCUCUCCCAAAAGAAGGUCAGACAGCACCCGCGGGACUCGAACCCCCAGCAGGCUGGGGAUAGAUGACUGCCAAGUCAAAGGAACUGCUGGGCUAAGCUGGCUAUUGUUCUGUAUUUAUGUGGUAGUGGUGCAACAGAUUCUCACCCUCAGUAUCAAUCAGAUAUGUGGGUGCUCCUGAGCAUUUCAAAGUUCUUCAUUGUUUGGGAGGUUAAGGAGAAUUGAAGACGAGGGUUGGGAACUUGAUCCUCACCUUGGGGGCUACCUGACACGAACUGCACAUUUGUUCACACUUUCAGAACAAUGUGUUCCAAUAUACAAGUUUCUGGAGAGGUGGUGGGGGGAUGGCUUUCUAUUAGUUCCAGGAAUGCAAUAUGCAAUCCAAUGCACAGCCACCACUAAUCAAUGUUUAAGAACUUGUUGCCAUACCAGUAACAAUAUGCUCAGAGCUGCAGAUGCUGAUCUGGAAGCUUCACUGACCUCAUCAGCAAUCACUAAAGCAAGUCAAUGAGAUGACUGUGAUAGGAUGGAGAAGAGCCAAUACUGUCCUUGCUCUUUACAAACACCUUUUUUGCAACCAGGCUGGGGUGGUAUGUCUGCAAGUGUUUGUGCAUGAGGUUAUCUCAGCAUGCUGGCAUGUGCCAGGUUCCUUCAACUACAGUUACCCAGAAAACAUGGCAAAAACAAGUCUGUAUUUUGGGUUGCUGAAAAGUGCAUCCAGAGUAAUCACUGCAACAUCCAGAUGAGGCAGUUGAUGAUGUACCCAAUAGUGCUUGCUAUAGUGAUGGACAAACUCAUUUCUCUUUUUUCUCCCUUUUAUCUUUCUGAACUUUCUUGAGAAGUCCGGGAUCUUUCAGAGGCGCCCUGAAGGCAGUAUGCAACCCCUACCUUCACUGUUUCCCCCACUAAACUUAAUUGCAAAUAGCAAGUAGGGCCGACAAUGGUAGAAACCUUUUCCUUAAGUUUCCAGGCUUCCUGGUAGCAAUGAAGUAUCCGUUGGUGCUGGAAGCCUCAUUUCCCGCUGGUUUAGUUUAUUGAGCCAGGAAAAUGGGAAAAACUAUGAUUUGCAAGAUUUCUGCUGGGAAAUGAUGCUUUAAGACUGACCUCUCUAUUGUCAUGAAACCUCUCUGAUGCCAUCCCUAGUACAAGGGAACGUCCAACAAAGAGGAAGUCUGGCACUGAAGCAAGCCCAUUAUGAACUGGACCUAAAAUUUAGAGGGGAUUUGGAAUGGGUAAUUUUUCAGGAAUUGCUCUCAUCCUCAGCUUUACUAGAUUAAUCCAAACACAGCCCCGCCAGCCCCACUUUAAGGCACUAUGCAAUCCCUAGCAAAAGAAAACUCCUGAUUCCCAGUGACUUAAGUGGUAGUGAGAGCAGUACCAGCAGUAGAGGAAACUUCAGUGGAGGAAAAUCUGGUGCAAGUGGGAUGCUGACAUUUUCCACAGCAAAAGCACAAUUCUUCUGAUGGUCUCCCUGCUGCUGCUGGAGUCUGCUAGCUCAGUAAGGACUGAGAUCAGAGAGGCUAUUUGAAACAACACAUAUAAACAUGUGGAAAAUGCUUAAAAUAUUUGUCUUCACAAGACACCCAUAAACAGGGGCCAACUUUAUAGGACUCGGUGGGAUAAAGAAAAAUGUAUGGUGGCCAAUGCCACUCGGAUUGAGUUGGAACUUAAUCAUGCUUCCCAUAUCCAAAGUUCUGGAAUAUGAAGUUUCUCAGUCUCUGCUUACUCUAAUUGCUUCAGUGUCCUUUCCAACCUCUUAAAACAGAUGGAACAUUUAUUUUAAGCCUAACAGGACAGGAUAUCCUUAACACAAAAGCUGUUCUGUUUGCCAGAUUAUAAAACAGCAUAAGAAUGCACUUACUGCUAUGUUUCAUGCCAUUCAGACAGUAGCGUUAGGAGAUUUGAUGAAAGACAAUCAACCAUAAUUUAUCUUGAGUAAAAACUGCCAAAUAGUGUUAUAUAUAUAAGCAGGCUUACCAAU